UUAGGUUUUCAUUUUCUUCUGGAAUUUUUCUGGAAUUCUCGUUGUUGAAGAUUGAUGGAGAUGAUAUGAAGAUUAAAAAGAGAAGAAG
rnacentral:pre_miRNA from 1 species